rnacentral:rRNA from 1 species
CAAUAGCGUAUAUUAAAGUUGUUGCAGUUAAAAAGCUCGUAGUUGGAUUUCUGGUGGGAGCGAUCGGUCUGGCGCUUAGCGCGAGUACUUGCAUCGUCUCCGGCCAUCCUUGGGGAGAGUCUGUCUGGCAUUAAGUUGUCGGGCAGAGGAUCCUCAUCGUUUACUGUGAAAAAAUUAGAGUGUUCAAAGCAGGCUUAUGCCGUUGAAUAUAUUAGCAUGGAAUAAUAAGAUAGGACUCUGGUACUAUUUUGUUGGUUUGCGCACCAAAGUAAUGAUUAAUAGGGACAGUUGGGGGUAUUCGUAUUCCGUUGUCAGAGGUGAAAUUCUUGGAUUUACGGAAGACGAACUACUGCGAAAGCAUUUACCAAGGAUGUUUUCAUUAA